GGCACAGCUACCUUCUCCACUGUGGCCCCAUCCCCGCCACAGGAGAGAGAGCCGCCUUUACCCGACAUGAGCAGGAGUUCGAGGAACAUCUGGACGAGCAAAGGCCACCAGGAGGUAGCACAGCAAAAAAGGCCAAGAGCCUGUUUUCUUUACCGAUGGCUGGCGGCAAAUAUUCCGAAAGAAACGUGUCAGGCAAGAAGCGCUAGUUCACGCCUGUCAUUCCACCGCUUUGGGAGGCCAAGGCAGGGGGAUCACUUGCCCCAGAAGUUUGAGACCAGCCUGGGCAACAUAGUGAGGCCCCUGUCUCUACAAAAAACUUAAAAUCAAUAAACAGGUCUCCUUCCUUCCUCAAUAGUCCUGUUGGUGGCUCACCUCUCUGCCUCUCCAGAUGUGAGGCAGAUCCACACGUUUAGCUAUUGAGAUAAGGCUGGGCGUGGUGGCUCACACCUGUCAUUCCGGCCUCAGAUCUCUUGUGCCCAGGAGUUUUAAGACUAGCCUGGGCGACCUGGCUGGCAACAUGGCCUCCACAAAAAUAAAUAAAACAUUUUAAAUAUAUAAACAUUGAGAUAAUAGCAUCUUGAUGCCUGUCUUCAUUUUUUGUCUUCUGUUUUAAGGACUAUUAGAGACAAACUAACCAAAGAUAAUUCUCCCCUCCCAUGUGGCUCGUGCUGGGACGCCGGCACCGUGAGAUGGCGCCCGUGGCCAGAUAGAGGGUGGCGUGUAAAGCAGCAUGAACAAACAAAAAAAAGCCGGAUUUGGACAAAUAAAAAGAAGUGCAUGUCAGCCCGAGUGUCCUGAAACAUGUUCCUGUAUUAGAAUCUCCAGGAAAGCUGGGGCCCCCACUCGCCACUACCUCAGGCUGGGCCCGCAGUCACGUGCUUCUCCCUACAG
rnacentral:lncRNA from 1 species